AUGGGGGCAACCCUGAUCCAGCCAUGCCGCGUGAAUGAAGAAGGCCUUCGGGUUGUAAAGCUCUUUCGGCCGGGAAGAAAUCGCAUGGGUGAAUACCCUGUGUGGAGGACGGUACCGGAACAAGAAGCACCGGCUAACUACGUGCCAGCAGCCGCGGUAAUACGUAGGGUGCAAGCGUUAUCCGGAAUCACUGGGUUUAAAGGGUGCGUAGGCGGCAUGAUAAGUCAGAGGUGAAAGCUUGCGGCUCAACCGUAAAAUUGCCUUUGAUACUGUUAUGCUUGAAUCAGGUUGAGGUAGGCAGAAUGUGGCAUGUAGCGGUGAAAUGCAUAGAUAUGCCAUAGAAUACCAAUUGCGAAGGCAGCCUGCUGGACCUGUAUUGACGCUGAGGCACGAAAGCGUGGGGAUCGAA
rnacentral:rRNA from 1 species